rnacentral:tRNA from 1 species
GCCGGCGUACUCCAAUGGUUAGAGAGAGCCGCUUUAAGAGCGGUCAAGUGCGGGUUCGAGUCCCGCCGCCGGCA